UCGGUCACUGCACAUCUGUUAUUCAGUUCACUCACAGACAGCAAACCAAGGGGUUGUGCUGUCUCCUUGUCUCCCAGGGAUAAACCCACAUGACAGUUUACAAAAACAGGUAAUCAUAAGAAGCAAAUGGCCCAGAUGAAACACAGCAAAAGAAUGAGAAGUGGUAACACUGGGAGUGAAAUUUGAACCAAGCGUAAAUGGAGUGAUCGUAGAAAUAGCUGACUGUGGAAUGUGGACACUCUCUGUAUCUGCAGCCUGGGAAGCUUAAAGAAGGUGAACUUACUGACACCAGUUAGAAAGUGACUGUGAUGAAACGAUGAAGAUGCUCCAGAGGAAGUGACACCAGCAAUAGGAAAAAAAAAACAAACCUCUCACUGAAGGAACUCUCGGAGAUAUUUCAUGACACAGAAGGCACAAAGGAUACAAUAUUGGCAACUAAUCGAAACUUAGAAAUGAUAUGACAGCUCACCAAGGCAUAGAAAAAGAUGCUUGCUCUAUCAUAAGUUAUAGAAUGAGAAGAAGAGAAAAUAAGCUGUCAUUAUCGGAAUGAUCAAACACAGAGAGAAAAGAGGCAGAGGUGAGAAGAUGGAGAAGAUGAAUACAUUUGCUUUCAGCAAACCAAUGGAAGUCCAUUUGCAUGAUCUGAAAAGGAAAAUGAGAAGCUAAUUUUUCUAUACAAGGCAGAAUUUAAGAAAUACAAUUCCUAAGGACUCCAGUGGAUACAGCUCUGGUUCCUGGACUUCGUGUUUUGGCUUGGUCUUUCUGCUUUUUCAAUUUUGUCACUGGUAAGACUGGCCCCACCUCACCCAUGAGGAGCACAUUUUCAAGGUUAAAAUGCUGAGUUAAUUAGAGAAAGUGGUGUUAUUAACUGAAUGGCAAUAGAGAAGCAGCAGCAAUUGAGGGAAAGGAGAUGAUAAGUUGUUUUGGGGCAUGGUGAAUUUGAGAUAUCUUGCAGAACAUUCAGAUCAAGGUUCUUAUGACCCCUGAAGUUGUCACGUGUUAACCAGAAAACAGAUCUGCCAGGUGCGGUGGUUCACACCUGUAAUCCCAACACAUUGGGAGGUCGAGGCGGGAAGAUCACUUGAGGCCAGAAGUUCAAGACCAGCCUGGCCAACAUGGCAAAACCUUGUCUCUACUAAAAAUGCAAAAAAUUAGCCUGGUGUGGUGGCAGGUGCCUGUAAUCCCAGCUACUUGGGAGGCUGAGGCAUGAUAAUCAUUUGAACCUGGGAGGCAAAGGUUGCAGUGAGCCAAGAUUGCACCACUGCUCUCCAGCCUGGGCAACAGAGUAAGAGUCUGCCU
rnacentral:lncRNA from 1 species